GACGAACGCUGGCGGCGUGCUUAACACAUGCAAGUCGAACGGAAAGGCCCUGCUUUUGUGGGGUGCUCGAGUGGCGAACGGGUGAGUAACACGUGAGUAACCUGCCCUUGACUUUGGGAUAACUUCAGGAAACUGGGGCUAAUACCGGAUAGGAGCUCCUGCUGCAUGGUGGGGGUUGGAAAGUUUCGGCGGUUGGGGAUGGACUCGCGGCUUAUCAGUUUGUUGGUGGGGUAGUGGCUUACCAAGGCUUUGACGGGUAGCCGGCCUGAGAGGGUGACCGGCCACAUUGGGACUGAGGUACGGCCCAGACUCCUACGGGAGGCAGCAGUGGGGAAUAUUGCACAAUGGGCGGAAGCCUGAUGCAGCAACGCCGCGUGCGGGAUGACGGCCUUCGGGUUGUAAACCGCUUUCGCCUGUGACGAAGCGUGAGUGACGGUAAUGGGUAAAGAAGCACCGGCUAACUACGUG
rnacentral:rRNA from 1 species